GGAUAGCUCAGUUGGUCAGAGCAUGGCGCUGAUAAUGCCACGGUUGAAGGUUCGAUCCCCGUGUGGGACA